rnacentral:rRNA from 1 species
GACGAACGCUGGCGGCGUGCUUAACACAUGCAAGUCGAACGGAAAGGCCCUGCUUUUGGGGGGUGCGCGAGGGGCGAACGGGUGAGUAACACGUGAGUAACCUGCCCUUGACUUUGGGAUAACUUCAGGAAACUGGGGCUAACACCGGAUAGGAGCUCCUGCUGCGUGGUGGGGGUUGGAUAGUUUCGGUGGUGGGGGCUGGACUCGCGGCGUAUGAGCGUGUUGGUGGGGUUGGGGAUUACCAAGGUUUUGACGGGUAGGCGGCAUGGGAGGGUGACCGGCCACAUGAGGACUGAGAGACGCACCAGACUCCGACGGGAGGCAGAAGGGGGGAAUAUUGCACAAUGGGCGGAAGCCUGAUGCAGCAACGCCGCGGGCGGGAUGACGGCCUUCGGGUAGUAAACCGCUUUCGCCUGUGACGCAGCGUGAGUGACGGUAAUGGGUAAAGAAGCACCGGCUAACUACGUG